AAAACACCUUUCCUACUUGUUUUGGGAAUAUCCACUCUGGGUGCAGCCUGUGUUUGCUGGGCCUGUGUGCUGUUUUCCGAGAGACUCUGGCUGCUGGAGAGGAUUCUCACAAAGGCAUGCACACCUGGGCAGGCUGCUCCCCCGUGGUGACCUGCUCACUGGUUUUCACGUUGCCGCCCGUCUUGUCCUCCUGCACGCUGGUGUGGCUGCUCUGCCUGUUUUGGGCACUGCCGUCCAGCCCGACGCUCUGAUGGCUGCUGGCCUGGGUGGAGGGAAGGCUGGCUGUGGAAGUCAGCAGCCCACUGCUCACCUGGUAGGUGAGGGCACUGCUGCCCAAGCUGAUGAAGCUGGUGCUGGACAGGCUGCUGCUGCCCGGCAGGCUGGCCUCACUCUUUCCCUCCAGUCUGCUUGGUGCUGUGGGCGGGGGGGCCCUGGGAGGCCUCUGAAUGUUGGCUGUGACCUCUCUGGGGAGAGGUGACUCCGUAUA
rnacentral:antisense_RNA from 1 species